ACUCCUACGGGAGGCAGCAGUGGGGAAUAUUGCACAAUGGGCGCAAGCCUGAUGCAGCCAUGCCGCGUGUGUGAAGAAGGCCUUCGGGUUGUAAAGCACUUUCAGUCGUGAGGAGUAGUAGUAGUUACUAGCUGCUAUUAUUUGACGUUAGCGACAGAAGGAAGCACCGGCUAACUCCGUGCCAGCAGCCGCGGUAAUACGGAGGGUGCGAGCGUUAAUCGGAAUUACUGGGCGUAAAGCGCAUGCAGGUGGUUGUUAAGUCAGAUGUGAAAG
rnacentral:rRNA from 1 species